UACGUAGGGUGCGAGCGUUAAUCGGAAUUACUGGGCGUAAAGCGUGCGCAGGCGGUUUUGUAAGCCAGAUGUGAAAUCCCCGGGCUUAACCUGGGAAUGGCAUUUGGGACUGCAAGGCUCGAGUGCGGCAGAGGAGACUGGAAUUCCUGGUGUAGCAGUGAAAUGCGUAGAUAUCAGGAGGAAUACCGAUGGCGAAGGCGGGUCUCUGGGCCGUGAACUGACGCUGAGGAGCGAAAGCGUGGGGAGCGAACAGGAUUAGAACUACCCGUAGUCAGAUCCAAGACCAGUC
rnacentral:rRNA from 1 species